CCCUUAGAUGUUCUGGGCCGCACGCGCGCUACACUGACGCCUACAGCGAGUACUUCCCAGCCCCGAGAGGUGGCUGGUAAUCAGCAAUAGGCGUCGUGAUGGGGAUAGAUCUUUGGAAUUAUGGAUCUUGAACGAGGAAUGCCUAGUAAGCGCAGGUCAUUAGCCUGCGUUGAUUAAGUCCCUGCCCUUUGUACACACCGCCCGUCGCUCCUACCGAUUUCGAGUGGUCCGGUGAAUCUUUCGGACUGCGCGCGGCUUCGUGCCGUGUCGCGGAAAGUCAGGUAAACCUUAUCACUUAGAGGAAGGAGAANUCGUANCA
rnacentral:rRNA from 1 species